GGCUAAGUUACUAAGGGCAUACGGUGGAUGCCUUGGCACAAAGAGACGAUGAAGGACGCGGUUACCGGCGAUACGCCACGGUAAGGUGGAAGCAACCUAAUACCCGUGGAUUUCCGAAUGGGGAAACCCUUCUCGAGUAAUGUCGAGAAACUCUUAUCUGAAUUCAUAGGAUAAGAAGAGUCAACCCGGGGAAGUGAAACAUCUCAGUACCCGGAGGAAGAGAAAACAAAAGUGAUUUCCUGAGUAGUGGCGAGCGAAAUGGAAAUAGUCUAAACCGUUUAACAUGUUAAAAGCUGUAACUCUUGUGUUAGCGGUGUUGUGGGGUGCAAUCAGACUGAAUUACAGAUAAGUCGAGGAGUCAAAAACUAUAUUGUUAGUCGAAUGUCCUGGAAAGUUCAACUAUAAAGGGUGAUAGUCCCGUAGACGAAAACAAUGUAACUUCUUGGAUAGCAUUCCCAAGUAACACGGAAUAAGUGGAAGUCUGUGUGAACCUGGCAGAACCAUCUGCUAAGACUAAAUACUCCUUUGUGACCGAUAGCGCAUAAGUACCGUGAGGGAAAGGUGAAAAGAACUCCUAACAGGAGAGUGAAAUAGUACCUGAAACCGUAUGCUUACAAGCAGUUGGAGCCCCGAUUUAUCGGGGUGACAGCGUGCCUUCUGGAUAAUGAGCCUACGAGUUAGUCGUCUGUUGCAAGGUUAAUCCGCUUAGUGGAGAAGCCGUAGCGAAAGCGAGUCUGAAUAGGGCAAUUUAGUAACAGGCGCUAGACGCGAAACCGGGUGAUCUACCCUUGUCCAGGAUGAAGUGAGGGUAAAACCUCAUGGAGGUCCGAACUAAUGUGGGUUGAAAACCGCUUGGAUGAGGUAAGGGUAGGAGCGAAAGACCAAUCAAACUCGGUUAUAGCUCGUACUCCUCGAAAUAGCUUUAGGGCUAGCCUCGAGUAUAUAGUAUGCCGGAGGUAGAGCACUGAUUGGGCUAGGGCUGUCACAACGGUACCAAACCCAGACAAACUCCGAAUUCCGGUCAUAUGUUUCUCGGGAGUCAGGCAGCGGGGGAUAAGCUUCGUUGCCAAAAGGGAAACAACCCAGAUCAUCAACUAAGGCCCCAAAAUAGUAGUUAACAGAGAAAGGAUGUUAAGUUGCUCAGACAACUAGGAUGUUGGCUUAGAAGCAGCCAUUCAUUUAAAGAGUGCGUAAUAGCUCACUAGUCAAGCGACUUAGCGUCGACAAUUCCCGGGACUAAAACUACUUGCCGAAGUUAUGAGCUCCGAUUUAUCGGAGCGGUAGAGGAGCAUUCCAUUUGCACCGAAGGUGUAGCGUGAGCUAUGCUGGAGCGAAUGGAAACGCAAAUGUAGGCAUAAGUAACGAUAAUGAAGAUGAAAAAUCUUCACGCCGAAAAUCUAAGGAUUCCUGAGCAAUGUUAGUCAUCUCAGGGUUAGUCGGAUCCUAAGCCGAGGCUGAAAGGCGUAGGCGAUGGUAAACAGGCUAAAAUUCCUGUACCUGGUAUUAAUCGUUUUACCAUAAGGAGGGACGCAGAAGUGAAAGAUCAGCCACCUGUUGGAUUAGGUGGUCUAAGCAUGUAGGUUUGAAGAGUAGGCAAAUCCGCUCUUCUUUAAGACCGAGGUGCGAACGGGAGGGCUUGCCCACAAACUGAUCCUAAUCAGACUGCCGAGAAAAUCUUCGUAUGGGAGAUUUGUAUCAGACCGUACCGUAAACCGACACAGGUAGAUGGGAUGAGUAUUCUAAGGCGCUCGAGUGAGCCGUGGUUAAGGAACUCGGCAAAUUAACCCCGUAAGUUCGCAAGAAGGGGUGCCUCUUGUAGGUGAGAUUGUACAAAUCAAGCUGAACGAGGCCGCAGUGAAAUGGCCCAAGCGACUGUUUAACAAAAACACAUGUCUCUGCUAAGUCAAUUCAGACGAUGUAUAGGGACUGACACCUGCCCGGUGCUGGAAGGUUAAGGGAAGAGGUUAGCGCAAGCGAAGCUUUGAACCGAAGCCCCAGUAAACGGCGGCCGUAACUAUAACGGUCCUAAGGUAGCGAAAUUCCUUGUCGGGUAAGUUCCGACCUGCACGAAUGGUGUAACGAUUUGGGCACUGUCUCAACCACGGGCUCGGUGAAAUUGUGGUACCGGUGAAGACGCCGGUUACCCGCAUAUGGACGGAAAGACCCCGUGCACCUUUACUGCACCCUAACAUUGGGUUCGGGUAAGGCAUGUGUAGAAUAGGUGGGAGACUUUGAAGCCGGGGCGCUAGCUUCGGUGGAGUCAACCGUGAAAUACCACCCUUGUUUUAUUUGGAUUCUAACCUCGAUCCUUGAAUCAGGAUUAGGAACAGUGUUAGGCGGGUAGUUUGACUGGGGCGGUCGCCUCCCAAAAUGUAACGGAGGCUCUCAAUGGUUCCCUCAGCAUGGUUGGUAAUCAUGCGUUGAGUGCAAAGGCAUAAGGGAGCUUAACUGCGAGACAUACAGGUCAAGCAGAUGGGAAACCAGGACUUAGUGAUCCGGCGGUAGCAAGUGGAAGUGCCGUCGCUCAAAGGAUAAAAGGUACGCCGGGGAUAACAGGCUGAUCUUGCCCAAGAGUUCAUAUCGACGGCAAGGUUUGGCACCUCGAUGUCGGUUCAUCGCAUCCUGGGGCUGAAGAAGGUCCCAAGGGUUUGGCUGUUCGCCAAUUAAAGCGGUACGUGAACUGGGUUCAGAACGUCGUGAGACAGUUCGGUCCCUAUCCUAUGCGGGCGAAGGAUACUUGAGAAGAGUCGCUUCUAGUACGAGAGGACCGAAGUGAACGCACCUCUAGUGUACCAAUUGUCGCGCCAGCGGCAGCGUUGGGUAGCUAUGUGCGGACGUGAUAAGCGCUGAAAGCAUCUAAGUGCGAAGCACACUUCAAGAUUAGGUAUCCCUGGGGCUUAGCCCCACUAAAGACUCCUUGGAGAUUACAAGGUUGAUAGGCUGCAGGUGUAAGUUCUGUAAGGAAUUCAGCCGAGCAGUACUAAUAAGUCGUGAGACUUAGCCAU
rnacentral:rRNA from 1 species